AGUGUGUUGCUGGUGGUGUCGUGGCUGCGACUCAGCGCACCCAGGCCACUCUGUAUGCGACGCACGGAGCCCGCCAGGCCGCCCUGCCUCUCAGCCAGGCCGCCUUGCCGCUCCCGCAGAGCCUCCAGCAUGGUGGCCAAUUUCUCCAGCAAGGUCACCACGGUGACUGCGUGCACCGGACCCCCUGCGGGCGUCUCAGGCACAGGUCCGGGCUCCAGUGCGCUCUCCCCCAUGAUCUCUGACCACCGGGCCUGCUCUCCCUGAGACCGAUGGCUGCGAUCUGGGCUGGGGCUGCCUUUCCCCGCCUCCUCCCCUAGUUCAGGCCGUGACUCAGCCGGGCGGGAGUUGGCAUCUUCCGCGGUGGGAAAAGGAGGAGGCCGAGCAAGGGGGCGGAAUGUCCAAAGGGGGCUCUUUCGAAGGCUCCGCCCCGGGAUCUGCGAGUAAGACAGUCCUGCCCAGAGGCACCUCUUUUCUGAGUUUGUGCUCCUUUUCCCCCAUUUUCCUGGUGGGCUUCUUUCAGGCCUGUGUUCUUCACAGCAAAAGGCAAACCACUGAAAAUUUCAUUUAUCUAUCUAGUGAUCAGAGAAGGGGGUGGGGGUGGAAGGCAGGGGUGUUAAAGGCAUAGCCUAAGCCGUCAAAGCUGCUGAGCCCCAACGCUGGGCGGAGGCCUGUAAAGUUUGGAAUGUUCUGCCUCAGACCCAAGACUGCCUAGGCCCAAGGCAGGGCUUUGUGUCUAGGCGGGCUGGGCGGGGCAUCCUCUGAUAUUUUCCAGGUUUAGCCUCUGGCUUCGUUUAUUGCUAUUUCUUCCUACUGGACUGCGUUGUUCUUCUUUGGAUUCCUGGAGGAUAGCUCAGCCAUGAGUUAGAAUAAGUACUGGUUUGUCCGUUUUAAUGGAGAUUGGCUGUGGUUCCUGCGUAAUGCCUUCAAUCCCGUCUCCGAAAUUGGUGAGUGUGAGGAUUUGAAAUGCUGCAGUAGCUAGAUAUGGUGAUACAUAUUGAGGUAGGAAAAUCACCAAUUGGAGACCAUGAUGAACUACAUAGUGAGUGUUAGAGUGGAAAAUCACUACAUAAAGGUUGAUUCCU
rnacentral:lncRNA from 1 species